AUUUCCUGGUAUCUUUACUAAAGUGGAACCACACCAAUCCAUCCCGAACUUGGAUGUUAAAUACUUUAGGAGUGAAAAUACUUAAAGGGAGACCUUUUGGGAAAAUAACUUGAUGCCUGGAUAU
rnacentral:rRNA from 1 species